AACUGAAGGCGAACCUGAAAAGUGAAACUAUCAAAGCAGCAUCCCAAAGCUGCAGGAGAAGAGUCGGCUCAGACUACUGAGAGUGUGGGACAGUGGAAUAGUGGGAUAAUAGUUUCACCAGUGUGCUGUUUUAAAAAACAGGUGGAGAUCCUGCCUUGAUAGACUGGCAGACAAGCAGGCGGCCAGGCUGUGUAAACUCAAGGCCAGGCGGAGAGCCAGACAGAAAAAUCUGAAGUUUUUUUUUCCCACAGAUUUUUCUGCUGUGCUUUCUUUCAAAGCAGAGGAAGUUGGUUAUAAACUAUUGCAAAGCUCCGAGAAGACUCCCAUUGAUGGCUACUGACCCUGCCUCUUCGAGUCUGGGAGCUAUGAAAGCAGCUGCUCCUGAGAAGUCGUGUCUUAUUGAGGGGAUAAGAAGACCUCCGUACAGAGCUCUUAUCCUGUAAAAAGACCACUUUCCAGAGGCUAUCACUGUGAUGCCAACAGCUAAAGCCUUAGCAGUUGUUAACUCUGUGCUUUCACACAUCUAUCUUUUUCAGUUUUCUUUUUAUUUCAAGUAAAUGGGGUUGCCUGGUUGGCACCCUAAACUUCAA